GCCUGAGGCACAGGGAAUGCAGCAACGAACAAAAGAGAAAGGGGCCCUGUUCUCAUGGAGCUUCCGUUCCAGUUGAGGGGAGACCGACAGUAAGUAAAACAAAAAAGCUAAGAAAGUGUCAGCACUAUGAAGAGAAUGAAAAUAAGGUGACACACUAGAAAGGAAUUAGAUACAGAACUUUAGGUUGGGAGGCCUCUCAGAGGAGGUAACAUGUAAGCUGAGAUCCGUGUGACAAGGAGGAAGAACACUGAGGCAUGAGAUAAUGGGUCCGAAGGCAAGAAUGACAUUGACUCAUCCCAGGGACAGAAAGAAGGCCACUGUGGUUGAAGCAAGGAGAAGGAAGUAGAUCUGAGGGAGCCAGCACACGCCAAUUAAGGAGGGUUUUAUAAGCAAUGUAAGGGAACUGGGUUUUGUCCAAAGUUCAACGAAGAGCCUUUGUAGUACUGUAAACAGGGAACUGGCUGGACCUGAUCCACAUCUUUAAAAGUCCAUUUUGGCUACCGAGUGGUGAAUGGACUAUGAGUGAGCAAGAGUGCAAGGAAUCGGAGAGCUGCUGCAACAGUGCUUAGGGCAGCGUCUGUGAAGACGAAGAAAAACAGAUUGAUCUGGGAGAUACUCUCAAGUUUGGCAGUUGAAGCCCACGGUAAUAAUGGGGUUCCAGGCAACAAGAAGAGAAAACUGCCAAGAAACUCUGGCCUUCUCUCAUGACCCAACCGCCCACGUUAGAAAAAAUGACUGGGAAGCAAAUUUGUCAAGAACAGGACCUUCACUACAGAAUAACCACCCAAAACCCGAACUAUAAACAGCCACUCAUUCAAAAGCACUAUUUUUAACAAGAGCACCUGAAUCACAAAUUGUGUGUUUUUCUUCUUUGACUCCUAAAAACCAAAUGCACUUUUCAAGUUUGCAUAUACCUGAGACCAGCAUAAUUACAGGCUAUCGUCCUGUGAAGUUUCAAUGAUCCAAGAAUCCCAAAGAGACUGUAAGAGAGCUGUUUCUUUAUUCUCACUAUUUUAGCAUGGAGAAAUGAGUCUACACUUUGGGAAGCUGCUGUGUUGGAAAAAACGUGAACUGCCAAAUAAGUCAAUCCAGAAGCAGCAUAGUGUAGCAACUGAGGGUACCUAAGAGUCCAGAAUCAACACACUGCAGCUGCGCUCAAUAGCAGCUCCACAACACAAGGCCAAGAGGAUGGAAAAUGUGACAGGUUACACCACAGAAGAGGCUGGAGGACAAUGAACAAUGAAGAAUGGGUGGUGACUGCAGGGGGCAGGGCAGAAGAAGACACAUCCCCAGCACAAAGCAGACAAUAAAACGAUGACCAUGUCAGCUCUGGGAACGAACUGACAGGACCGAAAUUAUGUAAAAACUAGGUCACUGUGAGAAAUGAAUACUAACUCCUAAUGUCAGGCUCUUAAGAAGAAAAGCAGCUAAAUGUGAGCCUUUGAUGAGUUCCUAUUUUAAAGAGAGUACUUAGUUGUGGGCAAAGAAUUUUUUUCUAAUAGGGCUGAGGAUAAUAAGUAAAAUUUGAACUUCUUAUUUCUUAA